UGGGGAAUAUUGCACAAUGGGGGAAACCCUGAUGCAGCGACGCCGCGUGAGCGAAGAAGGCUUUCGAGUCGUAAAGCUCUGUCCUAUGAGAAGAUAAUGACGGUAUCAUAGGAGGAAGCCCUGGCUAAAUACGUGCCAGCAGCCGCGGUAAUACGUAUGGGGCGAGCGUUGUCCGGAAUUAUUGGGCGUAAAGGGUACGUAGGUGGUUUUUUAAGUCAGGUGUCAAAGCGUGGAGCUUAACUCCAUUAAGCACUUGAAACUGAAAGACUUGAGUGAAGGAGAGGAAAGUGGAAUUCCUAGUGUAGCGGUGAAAUGCGUAGAUAUUAGGAGGAAUACCGGUGGCGAAGGCGACUUUCUGGACUUUUACUGACGCUCAGGUACGAAAGCGUGGGGAACAAACAGG
rnacentral:rRNA from 1 species